rnacentral:rRNA from 1 species
GAUGAACGCUAGCGGCAGGCCUAAUACAUGCAAGUCGAACGGUGUCUUCGGACAUAGUGGCGCACGGGUGCGUAACACGUAUGCAACCUACCUUACAUUGGGGGAUAGCCUUUCGAAAGGGAGAUUAAUACCGCAUAAGACAGUAGCUGGGCAUCCAGCAGCUGUUAAAGAUUUAUCGAUGUAAGCUGGGCAUGCGUCCAAUUAGCUAGUUGGUGAGGUAACGGCUCACCAAGGCAAUGAUUGGUAGGGGAACUGAGAGGUCAAUCCCCCACACUGGCACUGAGAUACGGGCCAGACUCCUACGGGAGGAAGCAGGAGGGAAUAUUGGGAAAUGGACGCAAGUCUGACCCAGCCAUGCCGCGUGCAUGAUGAAGGCGUUAUGCGUUGUAAACUGCUUUUAUACAGGAAGAAACGACUCUUGCGAGAGGCAUUGACGGUACUGUAUGAAUAAGCACCGGCUAACUCCGUGCCAGCCGCCGCCGUAAGAC